UUCCUUUCCGCGCUAGCACUGAAAGAAAACUCGAUACUCAUUCAGUCCAAAGCUAUUUACCACUCUCUUAUCGUAAAGAUAAUGGUAUCAUACCGAUGCAAAACAAAGAUCUCGGCCGAAGACUAUCUUAGUUUAGUAAAAAUCUGGUGCCAUGGUCAUCCCUCAAAGUUCUGCCUAGUCAUGCUUACAAUCGGGGUCCACUCACCUGAUAUUCUAGACAGAGUGAGGACGCAGAAAGCAUUCACUCGCCCAGUGGACGCCAACAUAGUCAAAAAAUGCAGGUCACGGCUGCGGUAGGUGUUGUGGUGGCAUGUCUCCUGGUGGCAAGAGGGAGUGGAGAGGAGAUCCCAGAGCCAAACCGCAUUCUCUUUUUGGCUCCCAUCUCCUCCAAGAGCCACAAGAACUUCUAUAUGGGAGUUGCCAAUGCUCUGGCCGAUCGCGGGAAUGAAGUAACGUUGGUAUCCCCGUUCCGGCCAUCAAAAAUCCGAGACCACGUCCGUGAGAUCGUGGUGCCAGGGAUCAGCAUUCAUGAUUACAUCCCCAACUUGUUCAAGGGCAAGUCUUCCGGCCCAAUGGCCUUGAUGAUGGCUGCACCUGAGCUUUGUUCCAAGGCCCUUGGGAAGGAGGAGGUGCAAGAUCUUUUGAAGGAGCAAUUUGACGUUGUCUUGAUCAGCAUUUUUUUCUCCCACUGUUUCUUAUCAGUUGUUCAUAAGAUGCAGGUGCCCUUCAUUUGGGUAACGCCCGGUGGCUACAUGGGCAUGACCGACCAGAUGAUGGGAAAUCCGACCUUUACCUCCUUCACAGGAUUCAUUCUCCUCGAGGCCAAAUAUCCGCUCACGUUCACCGAGCGAGCCUUAAGCACCUUCGGCGAUACUUUAUCUACCUUCGUGAUGAAUAAUUAUGCUGUCAACUGGAUAGAUGACACUUGUCGCAGCCAGGGUUUGUGCCCCGAUGACAUGCCGAGACUUGUGGACUUUCAGUACAAUGCAAGUCUCUUGAUUCAAAACAACGUGAGAACCUUGGACAACCCUGCACGACCUGUUGUCCCAAGUGUCAUCUCUGCCGGUGGUAUCCACUGCGGGCCCGCUCAGCCCCUCCCUAAGGACUUAGAGGAAUGGGUUCGAGGAGCUGGCGAAGACGGGUUCAUCUUUUUCAGUUUAGGAUCUGCGGUUAUUCCGUCGGAUAUGCCUGAGGAGUACCGCCGGAUCUUAGUGAAGGUGUUUGGGUCUCUGAAGCAGCGCGUGUUGUGGAAGUGGGACCAAGACGACAUGCCGGACCUGCCCUCCAACGUGAGGCUCGGGAAGUGGCUCCCACAGCAAGACAUCUUAGGACAUGCAUCCCUCCGCCUCUUCAUAACACACGGUGGGCAACUUAGCACAAUGGAAUCCACCUACCAUGGUAUCCCGGUUCUUGGUCUACCCGUGAUGGGUGACCAGCAAACCAACAUGGUUCAGGUCGAGAAAGAAGGCUGGGGCAAAGUUAUCUUCUGGGACCAGCUGUCUGAAGAGGUCUUGGCAGAAGGGAUCAAGUCGGUCAUGAAUGAUCAAAGUAUGAGAGUCGAAGCAAAGCGCCGAUCCCGAGUGAUGAAGGAUCAGCCUCAGUCAGCGGGUGAGAUAGCAUCCUAUUGGGUAGAGUAUGUCAUCCGGCACAAGGGGGCGCCUCACCUGCGGUCACCCAUUGUCACCAUGGCUUGGUACCGGGCUUAUAACGUGGACGUGUGGGUAACAACAGUGGCAGCAAUGGGCGUGAUCACAUUCCUCCUCCUAAAGCUCCUGGUUGCUGUGUGUUCAAGACUCUGCUCCUCCAAGGACAAGCGAAAACUUGAAUAGAAGUCCAUAAGUAGGAGGAGUGGGGAGGUUCAAGGACUGUUAUCUUUAAAUGUACUACUAUAUAAGGUAUAAAUAGCUUCCUACAUUUCGUUUGCCGAAGUGAGGUUGUUUCAGUGAGGUUGUUACUGUGGGUGUGUAAGCUUGUUUGUUUCGUAGUGAGAAUGAGUUCAUUUUAAAAGUACUGUAUCUUUUAUGAGUGACGAACAAACUUCAACUCAGCCAAUAUCAAUGCACAGGGCAAGCUUCAGCCACGGACCGGGUCCACUCUAGCUCCGGGCAAGCUGGAAGAGUUCCGUUUAAUGUAUUCGAUUGAUUUCAGUGUUAUCUGUGACUCAUGUUGGAGAGGCUUCCAUAGCCAUAUGAAUAAAGCAAAUUCCACCAA
rnacentral:misc_RNA from 1 species